rnacentral:rRNA from 1 species
AGCAGCCGCGGUAAUUCCAGCUCCAAUAGCGUAUAUUAAAGUUGUUGCAGUUAAAAAGCUCGUAGUUGAAUUUCGGGACCAAUAUGUCGGUCGUGCCUCGGUACGUACUGGUGUCAUUGGUUUCUCCCUUCUGAGGAUCCUCGAUGUCAUUAAUUUGGUGUCUUGGGGAAUCAGGACUGUUACCUUGAAAAAAUUAGAGUGUUUAAAGCAGGCAUGCGCUUGAAUACAUUAGCAUGGAAUAAUGAAAUAGGACGUUCGAUUCUAUUUUGUUGGUUUCUAGGAUCGACGUAAUGAUCAAUAGGGAUAGUUGGGGGCAUUAGUAUUCAAUUGUCAGAGGUGAAAUUCUUGGAUUUAUUGAAGACUAACUACUGCGAAAGCAUUUGCCAAGGAUGUUUU